CUGUUUCUGUUGAUGAUCCGCUGUUGAAGAUGAUGAUGAUGAUAAGCUGAUGAUGAUGACAGAGAACAGACGAUGGCGGUGUGUCUCUGACGAGCUCCGUUUCAGCAGGUUCUGGUCAACAGUGACAACUGGUCAGCGUGUUCGAGAUACAUUAGUUUCAGUUCGGUUGACUCGGUCGAACCGAGUCAACCUGGUCAAGCCUGGUCAACUCAGCGAGUCAACUCGGUCAACCCAGUCGACUCGGUCAACUCAGUCAAACGUCGAGAACGUGAAAGACCCGGUAAAGUUAGCGUAGCGAAUUAGUCUACGUUAGAUUUUAUUUACUAUACGCGAACCGAGCUCGACCCGACUAACUAACGGUUUUACAUAUAGUGAUUUUGUUUCGUAUUCGACGUUUUGAUAUAUUUAACGUAAAAAUUAUAUAAUGUUUGUUGAGUGA